UCUACUUAUUUAACUCUCUAGAGCGUGUUAGGAUCAAUAAUGAUAUUUUAACACUAUUUUUUCACUUCAAAUUUACACAUUCUUUGGGAAAAAAUAAUGUAAUUAUGUGUGAAAUUUGAUAACUAAAAAGGUGAGAUAACCAUUUUCCUGUUAGGAGUGAGAUUCCAAGAAAGUUAAGUGAAGAAAAUUGAUCCCUUGGUAAUUGGUAUGUAGAGAAAUGUAGAUGAGGAUGUCAAGGAGGCUGAGGGGUGGAACCAAAUAAAGCUUUGAUCUUGGAUUAUUGUAUCAUCGUCACUUCUCAUUGGCCAUGAUGGUAAAUGGGUG
rnacentral:lncRNA from 1 species